ACUUUCCUCGAGUCACACCUAAAGGCUUCAAGAAAAAAUAAACUGAACUGAAUCAAUGUACUAAAUAUGAAAUUGAAUGACUGUAAUCCAUUCAGAUACCUUUUGGUCCCUUUACAGAUGAUUAAGCUAAGCUUUAGGAGGCAAGUGCCUUCUCCAAUGCUGUGAGAUAAUAGGAGCAGAGAUAGAACGCAGCCUCUACUUUCUGGAUUUAAAAACCCAUCGAUGUUGCUGAAGCUAAGAGCUACCUGAAGAUGUUGCCAAACAUCUGUGGUCCAGGAGGUUGAUGCUAACGGAUCACUAAGUCCAGAAGCUGGAGACAAGUCUGGGAGUAGUGAACAUCUGUCAAGAAAAGAAAACAAGACUUUUAGAAGCAGAACUUGGAAAUAGAGGG